rnacentral:rRNA from 1 species
UACAGAGGGGGCAAGCGUUAUUCGGAAUUAUUGGGCGUAAAGGGCGCGUAGGCGGCCAUUCAAGUGACGGGUGAAAGCCCUCGGCUUAACCGAGGAACUGCCUGUCAGACUGGAUGGCUCGAGACCGGGAGAGGUGAGUGGAAUUCCCAGUGUAGCGGUGAAAUGCGUAGAUAUUGGGAGGAACACCGGUGGCGAAGGCGGCGCACUGGACCGGAACUGACGCUGAUGCGCGAAAGCGUGGGGAGCAAACAGG